GCACUCCAUAGGCAACUCAAGACCAACACAGUUCUCCCUGGCAUGGUCAGGGAGUGAUUUUUAGGGACCCAAGAACAGGCCCACAGUCCAGAUCCUAUAUCCCAAGGACUCAAUCAUGUUGCUCCGUGUCAUGGAGGGGAGAUUUGUGAACUAAUCUCAGGAGGCAAGGGAGCCCAUCUAGACAGAACUGAAGAAAACAUAGUCCUCCAACUUCUAACAUCUUCAACCUAUACCUCUAAUCUUGACAUGACUUCAUUUGAAGUAGGGAUAAGAAAAAUAAAAUCCUUUAUGACAACAGAAGAAAUUCAUGACACCUGAGUUUCAUAGCCAAAAACUCUAUUUUUCUACUGCUAGAGAAGUAGUCUGCUUCUGGCAGGACCCAAACUGUGACAACUGGCACUAAGAAUAAUCCAAAACAUCAUGUGGUAAAUGGAAUUUGUGGAUUUGAUCACUCAUUGCAGACAAUAAUGAGAAUCUCAUCUCCGAUGGUAUGUCGUGCUCAAUUGACCCCUUGCACAAGAUUGCCAUGCACUUCUUAGAAGUUUUAUUGAUUUUUAUCUGGGAUGGCCUGCCUAUGGUAGGGAAUUCAGUAUCAAGUUGCCAUAACUAGUAGUUAGAAAUAUAUGAAAUAAAUAAUAAAUACAAGUAUAUUAGGAUUGAAUGGUUGUUAUUAAG